GACGAACCGUGCGAACGUUGUUCGGAAUCACUGGGCUUAAAGGACGCGUAGGCGGGCUGACAAGUCUGGGGUGAAAUACCGCGGCUCAACCGUGGAACUGCCUUAGAUACUGUCGGCCUCGAGGGAGGUAGGGGCGUGCGGAACUGUAGGUGGAGCGGUGAAAUGCGUUGAUAUCUACAGGAACUCCGGUGGCGAAAGCGGCGCGCUGGACCUCUUCUGACGCUGAGGCGCGAAAGCUAGGGGAGCAAACGGG
rnacentral:rRNA from 1 species